GACGAACGCUGGCGGCGUGCUUAACACAUGCAAGUCGAACGGCGUGGCGAACGGGUGAGUACCACGUGGGUGAACUGCCCUGCGAUUCGGGAUAAGCCUGGGCAACUGGGUCUCCUACCGGAUAGUGUGGGAUGGGCCCGCGGCCUAUCAGCUUGUUGGGGGGGUAAUGGCCUACCAAGGCGGCGACGGGUACCCCGCCUGAGAGGGUGGACGGCCACAUUGGGACUGCGACACGGCCCAGACUCCUAAGGUAGGCAGCAGGGGGGAAGAUUGAACAAUGGGCGGAAGCCUGAUGCAGCGACGCCGUGGGGGGGAUGACGGCCUGUGGGUUGUAAACUCCUUUCACCAUCGACGCGGUAGAUGGAGAAGAAGCACCGGCUAACUACGUGCCAGCAGCCGCGGUAAUAC
rnacentral:rRNA from 1 species